rnacentral:rRNA from 1 species
GGCCGAAGAAGGUGACAGCCCUGUAGCUGAAACUGUUUUCCCUCCAGAGUGGAUCCUGAGUACGGCGGGACACGUGAAACCCCGUCGGAAUCCGGGAGGACCAUCUCCCAAGGCUAAAUACUCCCUAGUGACCGAUAGUGAACCAGUACCGUGAGGGAAAGGUGAAAAGCACCCCGGAAGGGGAGUGAAAUAGAUCCUGAAACCGUAUGCCUACAAGUAGUCAGAGCCCGUUAACGGGUGAUGGCGUGCCUUUUGUAGAAUGAACCGGCGAGUUACGAUAACGCGCGAGGUUAAGCCGAUGAGGCGGAGCCGUAGCGAAAGCGAGUCUGAACAGGGCGUUCAGUGCGUUGUCGUAGACCCGAAACCAGGUGAUCUACCCAUGUCCAGGAUGAAGGUCAGGUAACACUGACUGGAGGUCCGAACCCACGCACGUUGAAAAGUGCGGGGAUGAGGUGUGGGUAGCGGUGAAAUGCCAAUCGAACCUGGAGAUAGCUGGUUCUCCCCGAAAUAGCUUUAGGGCUAGCCUCGAGGUUGAGAGUUCUGGAGGUAGAGCACUGAUUGGACUAGGGGCCCCCACAGGGUUACCGAAUUCAGUUAAACUCCGAAUGCCAGCAACUUAUACUCGGGAGUCAGACUGCGAGUGAUAAGAUCCGUAGUCAAGAGGGAAACAGCCCAGACCGCCAGCUAAGGUCCCAAAGUGUAUGUUAAGUGGAAAAGGAUGUGGCGCUGCCUAGACAGCUAGGAUGUUGGCUUAGAAGCAGCCACCAUUCAAAGAGUGCGUAAUAGCUCACUAGUCGAGUGGCGCCGCGCCGAAAAUGUAACGGGGCUAAACAUACCACCGAAGCUGCGGAUUCCGUAAGGAAUGGUAGGGGAGCGUUCCAAACCGCUGUGAAGCUGUACCGGAAGGAGCAGUGGAGCGUUUGGAAGUGAGAAUGCCGGUGUGAGUAGCGAAAAGAGGGGUGAGAAUCCCCUCCGUCGAAAGCCCAAGGUUUCCUGAGGAAGGCUCGUCCGCUCAGGGUUAGUCUGGACCUAAGCCGAGGCCGAAAGGCGUAGGCGAUGGAUAACAGGUUGAUAUUCCUGUACCGCCGAUCCACCGUUUGAACAAUGGGGGGACGCAGGAGGAUAGUGACGCAUGCGGAUGGAAGUGCAUGUG